UGAUUUUAGUUGACUAUGGGUCGAUCGGACAAUUUUCAGCUGACUUACAGCACUUUGAAUAUCGAGGUCUACAUGGGUAAAACUUUAACUUUUAUUGAGAAUCACCAAAAAAAGCAAAGUUUAUUUGAUUUUAUUAGGUUUUGGUGAUUCUCAAGAAAAGUUAAAGUUGACUUACCGAUGUGAACCCUGAUACUCAAAGUGCUGUAAGUCAGCUGAAAAUUGUCCGAUCAACCCAUAGUUAACUAAAAUCA
rnacentral:pre_miRNA from 1 species